UCCAUCCAUCCAUCCAAGAAUAAUUCACCUUUUAACUCACAAAUUUCCCUAUAAAGUCUAAAAAUUUCAAUCUAACUUAGCCAAUCUAAUUUAAUGUAUUUUUAAAUUUCUUGUAUUUUUUUAUAUAUAUAUAAUAAAAAUCUUGUUAUUCAUUUUUAAUAUUUUUAAAUAAUAAUCCUGUAUUAAUCUUGUAUUUAUUAAUAUUUUUUAAAAAAUCACUUAUUUUGAAAAGUAGAAGUUGGAAAUUGGAGCUCACGUGACACUGAAGUUUGCAGUCCGUUCAGAAUCAGUAACAGAUGGUGAGUCUGUGAGUAUAGAGGAUGACAGUGUGUAUCAGGAGAACACGUCCAGCUUGUUAGAGAAAGAGAGAGCGAGGUUUUAUAAGAGGUGGCCUGGUGAUGACUCUGGAGGCCGUAGAGGACCCUGCUGUGACGGGUUUUGUGGUCAUGUUGUUGGGCAGCAGUUUCCCGCUGUGGUGGCGUAGCAGUGCUAGACGAGCUAUAGUAGUGAACAGGAGCGUUAAAUCCACUCCACCCUUUGGUUACCCCGAGCGUGAUUCUCCCAGAUCCCGUCCGUGACCUGUCCAGCCGGCGAUCCGCCCACUUCAGCCCCGGACGCUGUCCCCUUCCCUGGACAAAAGAAGUCCCGGCCUUGACGGUCACCCACUCUGUCCCCUAUCAAGCCAUCCAAGCAUACAGGGAGCACAUUAGCCCUGAUUUGGUUUUGUGCCUCGUCCUUUUUCUCACGUGCUUCCACACGCCCUCUAAUUUAGACUCCAGAUGCAUCAGGUGCACUCUGGACUUCGCCACACCAAAUGACCCCAAAGCCAUCAUGGCCACUUGACCCCAUAGGCCUUUAUACUGCACUGUCAGCUCCUGUAGCAUCACUCGAGCGCAAAUGCGGUCCUCAGAACUCGACACAAAGACGGACGUGUCGUCCUCUAUGAAAGCGUCGUUCUUCGUCUGACGCUAUAAGUGUUGUUUUUAAAAGAAUCGUACAAUCUGUUCUGGACCGAUACACACAAGUUUAAACUCACAUAAGAACAAUAAAGCAGAUCAUUAACUGCUCGACCUCUCAGAAAUAAAGGUCUUAUAAAGGUUCAUGCAGACCAUCAGACCAAAUCAGAUCAUCACACACACCAAAUCUCUGAAGUGAGACACUAGACAUCAGAAAGCACGAUGAACACGAGACACUGUGGAACUGUUACACCAGCAAGAGUUUACCACACACACUCACAUUUCAUUACUAAACAUCUCACACACACACUCUCUCUCUCUCUCUCUCUCUCUCUCUCUCUCACACACACACACACACA